AGAGCGAACGCUGGCGGCAGGCUUAACACAUGCAAGUCGAGCGCCCCGCAAGGGGAGCGGCAGACGGGUGAGUAACGCGUGGGAACGUACCUUUUGGUUCGGAACAACACAGGGAAACUUGUGCUAAUACCGGAUAAGCCCUUACGGGGAAAGAUUUAUCGCCGAAAGAUCGGCCCGCGUCUGAUUAGCUAGUUGGUGAGGUAACGGCUCACCAAGGCGACGAUCAGUAGCUGGUCUGAGAGGAUGAUCAGCCACAUUGGGACUGAGACACGGCCCAAACUCCUACGGGAGGCAGCAGUGGGGAAUAUUGGACAAUGGGCGCAAGCCUGAUCCAGCCAUGCCGCGUGAGUGAUGAAGGCCCUAGGGUUGUAAAGCUCUUUUGUGCGGGAAGAUAAUGACGGUACCGCAAGAAUAAGCCCCGGCUAACUUCGUGCCAGCAGCCGC
rnacentral:rRNA from 1 species